rnacentral:rRNA from 1 species
UACGUAGGGGGCAAGCGUUAUCCGGAUUUACUGGGUGUAAAGGGAGCGUAGACGGACUGGCAAGUCUGAUGCGAAAGGCGGGGGCUCAACCCCUGGACUGCAUUGGAAACUGUUAGUCUUGAGUGCCGGAGAGGUAAGCGGAAUUCCUAGUGUAGCGGUGAAAUGCGUAGAUAUUAGGAGGAACACCAGUGGCGAAGGCGGCUUACUGGACGGUAACUGACGUUGAGGCUCGAAAGCGUGGGGAGCAAACAGG